AGCACUUGUACUGUGAAACUGCGAAUGGCUCAUUAAAUCAGUUAUCGUUUAUUUGAUAGUACCUUACUACAUGGAUACCUGUGGUAAUUCUAGAGCUAAUACAUGCUAAAAACCCCGACUUCAGGAAGGGGUGUAUNUAUUAGAUAAAAAACCAACGCCCUUCGGGGCUCCUUGGUGAAUCAUAAUAACUUAACGAAUCGCAUGGCCUUGCGCCGGCGAUGGUUCAUUCAAAUUUCUGCCCUAUCAACUUUCGAUGGUAGGAUAGUGGCCUACCAUGGUGGCAACGGGUAACGGGGAAUUAGGGUUCGAUUCCGGAGAGGGAGCCUGAGAAACGGCUACCACAUCCAAGGAAGGCAGCAGGCGCGCAAAUUACCCCAUCCCGAUACGGGGAGGUAGUGACAAUAAAUACUGAUACGGGGGCUUUUUUUGGGUCUCGUNAAUUGGAAUGAGAACAAUUUUAAAUUCCCUUAACGAGGAACAAUUGGAGGGCAAGUCUGGUGCCAGCAGCCGCGGUAAUUCCAGCUCCAAUAGCGUAUAUUAAAGUUGUUGCAGUUAAAAAGCUCGUAGUUGAACCUUGGGCCUGGCUGGCCCGGUCCGCCUCACCGCGAGUACUGGUCCGGCUGGGCCUUUCCUUCUGGGGAACCUCAUGGCCUUCACUGGCUGUGGGGGGAACCAGGACUUUUACUGUGAAAAAAUUAGAGUGUUCAAAGCAGGCCUUUGCUCGAAUACAUUAGCAUGGAAUAAUAGAAUAGGACGUGUGGUUCUAUUUUGUUGGUUUCUAGGACCGCCGUAAUGAUUAAUAGGGAUAGUCGGGGGCGUCAGUAUUCAGCUGUCAGAGGUGAAAUUCUUGGAUUUGCUGAAGACUAACUACUGCGAAAGCAUUCGCCAAGGAUGUUUUCAUUAAUCAGGGAACGAAAGUUAGGGGAUCGAAGACGAUCAGAUACCGUCGUAGUCUUAACCAUAAACUAUGCCGACUAGGGAUCGGACGGGAUUCUAUAAUGACCCGUUCGGCACCUUACGAGAAAUCAAAGUUUUUGGGUUCUGGG
rnacentral:rRNA from 1 species